AUUUAAAUAGUUUAAAAAAAAAAUUUUGAUUUGUGGAAUCAAAGAUGUGAAAAAUUCAUUUUAAAUA
rnacentral:tRNA from 2 species